GUGUGUGUGCGUGUCGGAUGACGGACCUCCGGUCCGGCUCUGGCCACASGCCGCUGCUGGUUUCAGGUGUGCCUCGGACGGAAGAAUCUCCCGUCAGCGGCGCAAGAGCUUCGGGUAAUUUCACGACCCGUCUUGAAACACGGACCAAGGAGUCUAACAUGUGCGCGAGUCAUUGGGUUGAACUCUAAACCUAAAGGCGCAAUGAAAGUGAAGGUCUGCUUCGGUGGACCGAGGGAAGAUGGGGCGUGCUUCYGUGCGCCCCCGCAUUCCCGGGGCGUCUCGUUCUCAUUGCGAGUUGAGGCGCACCCAGAGCGUACACGUUGGGACCCGAAAGAUGGUGAACUAUGCCUGGCCAGGACGAAGUCAGGGGAAACCCUGAUGGAGGUCCGUAGCGAUUCUGACGUGCAAAUCGAUCGUCGGAGCUGGGUAUAGGGGCGAAAGACUAAUCGAACCAUCUAGUAGCUGGUUCCCUCCGAAGUUUCCCUCAGGAUAGCUGGUGCUCGAUGUCGAGUCUCAUCCGGUCAAGCGAAUGAUUAGAGGCCUUGGGGCCGAAACGACCUCAACCUAUUCUCAAACUUUAAAUGGGUGAGAUCUCCGGCUUGCUUAACUGAAGCCGCGAGAUUUCGGAUACGAGUGCCAAGUGGGCCACUUUUGGUAAGCAGAACUGGCGCUGUGGGAUGAACCAAACGCAGAGUUAAGGCGCCCGAAUAGACGCUCAUGGGAAACCAUGAAAGGCGUUGGUUGCUUAAGACAGCAGGACGGUGGCCAUGGAAGUCGGAAUCCGCUAAGGAGUGUGUAACAACUCACCUGCCGAAGCAACUAGCCCUGAAAAUGGAUGGCGCUGAAGCGUCUUGCCUAUACUCUGCCGUCAGCUCGGCAAUGAGGGGCGCGUGCUCCGCUUCGGCGGGCCCGCCUCGUGAGGCCCUGACGAGUAGGAGGGUCGCGGCGGUGAGCGCAGAAGGGUCUGGGCGUGAGCCUGCCUGGAGCCGCCGUCGGUGCAGAUCUUGGUGGUAGUAGCAAAUACUCCAGCGAGGCCCUGGAGGACUGACGUGGAGAAGGGUUUCGUGUGAACAGCCGUUGCACACGAGUCAGUCGAUCCUAAGCCCUAGGAGAAAUCCGAUGUUGAUGGGGUCCGACACUUGAAAUAUUAAUGUGGACCCCAUGGGGCGAAAGGGAAUCCGGUUCCUAUUCCGGAACCCGGCAGCGGAACCGUAACCAGUCGGGCCUUUCUCUUCAGAGAAGCUCGUCGGGGUAACCCAAGAGGACCCGGAGACGCCGUCGGGAGAUCGGGGAAGCGUUUUCUUUUCUGCAUGAGCGUUCGAGUUCCCUGGAAUCCUCUAGCAGGGAGAUAGGGUUUGGAACGCGAAGAGCACCGCAGUUGCGGCGGUGUCCCGAUCUUCCC
rnacentral:rRNA from 1 species